rnacentral:lncRNA from 1 species
CCAAGUUUCAUAGAAAAUAAAAAAUAUAAUGUGUCAACAUAAUAAUAAAAGUAUUAAAAUUACAUAUAUUCUCUUCAUAUUAUUCAUCAUCUCCAUCAAUUGUGAUAGUCUGAGACUAUCAAAUCUAUAUCAAUAUAGCAAAUAAAAUUAAUAGGAUUUAGUGAAUUCAUUUUCUUCAAUGAUCUAUAUGCCUAGUCCCUUGAGUCCUCCUUCUGGGAUCACUACAACUGUAACAAGGGAGUAUAGUUCUUCUUUUGCAUCUUCAUCGUCAUUGUGUGCUUGCGAGAAAUAGACUUACUUGAGUAUAUUCAUGUAUAUUAAUUUUUUAUUUCUUUAUUAUUAUUUUUAUUAACAACUCCAACUCACUAUAAUAUCUUAACAAUCUUCCUCCCCUCACAGCCGAGUUAAUUACAGUAAAAACUCUCUCCCUCUCCCUCUCUCCUCUGCUAUGACCUGCAUAUAUCAGACACAAAUUUGUUUAUAUGGGGACCGACUUCAUCAAAUGUUUAGCAUAAUGUUGUGCUUUCUACGCCAUUAGCUUCUGAUAUGUAAAAAAAGCAGCAGCAAGACUCGUUUUUUCUUACCAUUCGAGCUAGAGUUGUAUCUAUUCCGAAAGGUAAGCUGCAAUAAAAAGCUGCAUUAUUGGUAAAAACAUCUCCAUUCCUCAACACUGUAUUAGAUCCAGUCUCUUGCUCAUACUUAGAUUGGUUGCUUGUUGAUGCAUCAUUUGAGACAUUAAGAGAAGUUUGAUCAUGGUCUAUCAAGUUUUUCAUCAUCAAACUUGGUGAAUUUUUAAAUGGGACACUAGGUUUCCAAAAUGAUUAUCCCUUAUUUAAGGAUUCAUUAGAUAGUUGAACAGAUGUGAAGAAGAUGCAUGGUUAGAAAAAUUUAGGUGUCAAAAUUAAUGAACUCCAUGCAAGUUUUACAUAUGAAUAUAUAGAUAUGUGCUAAUUAAAAGGCUGGUUGUGAUGUUGGAGAGUUGUUUGUUAUUUAUUACACUAUGAUGGCUAGAAGUAUAAGAAGUAAUUGAGAUGUGGCUAGCUGUUGGUUGGCCAUAGCUGUUGUGCUGCUUUCCCAACACUAUAAUAUGGUAAAAUAAUACUAGUAUGAUUUUGGUUUGGAAGUUGUAACUCAAAAUUGAGUGACAAGAAGCCAGACUGGACUACGUAACAGCUCAUCCAUGUUGCAAGUACACACCAGUGUUGCAUGUUUGGGAUUUGUGGAUAGUGGGUAGAAAGCCGAACAAGAACUUAUGACUGGGUCGUUUAGAUGGAGAUUGGAGAAUAACUUGUGGGACAUUUGGCUCAGUCAAGAUUGGGCUUAGUCAAGAUUGUACAACUGAUCGUAAUUUGUCAAGUGAAGGCUCAAGAACAUAUACGACAAUUUUUUUUUUGAAAGAAUGAAC